rnacentral:rRNA from 1 species
CCUACGGGGGGCAGCAGUGGGGAAUAUUGCACAAUGGGCGCAAGCCUGAUGCAGCCAUGCCGCGUGUGUGAAGAAGGCCUUCGGGUUGUAAAGCACUUUCAGCGGGUAGGAAGGCGGUGAGGUUAAUAACCUCAUCGAUUGACGUUACCCGCAGAAGAAGCACCGGCUAACUCCGUGCCAGCAGCCGCGGUAAUACGGAGGGUGCAAGCGUUAAUCGGAAUUACUGGGCGUAAAGCGCACGCAGGCGGUCUGUCAAGUCGGAUGUGAAAUCCCCGGGCUCAACCUGGGAACUGCAUUCGAAACUGGCAGGCUAGAGUCUUGUAGAGGGGGGUAGAAUUCCAGGUGUAGCGGUGAAAUGCGUAGAGAUCUGGAGGAAUACCGGUGGCGAAGGCGGCCCCCUGGACAAAGACUGACGCUCAGGUGCGAAAGCGUGGGGAGCAAACAGGAUUAGAUACCCGUGUAGUC